rnacentral:tRNA from 1 species
GGAACUGUGCCUGAACGCCUAAGGACCACUUUGAUAGAGUGAUUUACAGGGGUUAAAGCCCCCUCAGUUCCU